rnacentral:rRNA from 1 species
AGCUCUGUAAGCGUAUACCAAAGUUGUUGCAGUUAAAACGCUCGUAGUCGGAAUUUGGCAGUUUCGGAAGUGUGCACAACGUGUGCGCGCUUUGCAGGAACUGCUUUUGUGGUAUUGCGUAGGAUGACGCGACUUUAUUGUUGAACGUCCUCACGCAACCACUCUUUACUGUGAGAAAAUCAAAGUGCUCAAAGCAGGCAUUUGCCGUGAAUGUAUUAGCAUGGAAUAAUAGAAUAGGACUUGGUUCUAUUUUGUUGGUUUGUUGGGGCUAAGUAAUGAUUAAGAGGGACAGUUGGGGGCAUUUGUAUUCCGGCGCUAGAGGUGAAAUUCUUAGAUUGCCGGAAGACAAACUGCUGCGAAAGCGUCUGCCAAGGAUGUUUUCAUUGAUCAAGAACGAAAG